rnacentral:lncRNA from 1 species
AUGAAUUUUACAGACGUUCAUAUUUGUCCAGACUCUCCCAGACUUUGUGCAUAGCAGUAGUUUCAAUGCAGUUUUGUAUGAUUUAUGCACUUACUUUAAAAAAGAUCUAUUACAGAAUAAUACUAGCAAAUAGAUUGAUAUUUUAAACUUUCACAAGUCAUAGUAAUGGAAAAAAAAGCUUCAAGACAUCUGUGUCUACCUGAACCUAGCACUUGCUACAUGUAUAUGCUUGGGCGUGCUCACAUAUGUCCCCUUGGAAAUAUUCAGUGUCUGGGGACUUCAGUUGUCUUGGAUGCAGUCUCAGUUCAGUCGUUGAGAGAGGCAGAGAGGAAGGGACCAACGCCCAUCUCUGAGAAAAACGGCAGCCUUGGUUUGACCUCAGGUGUACUCAUAGAUGACCAACAUGGCGUGCCUGGCAGCUCUGUGUCUGCUGUUGAUAUUUCCACUGAGCAGCUCCCAGAGCACGCUGAAGUCUGAGCAGAAAAUCAGCGCCCAUAAGGCCCCAGGAGCACCUCCUCCUCCUCCACCUCCACCCCCACACAUACGGGACCUACUCCAAAAGGAGGAAACCAGUAAUUUAAACGCAAUGCGGACAUAUGCCCUUGUAGACAAAGAUAACGCCAAAGUGGGUCUGUUCAUCGCAGCAGCCAUGGGAACCUUUGCUCUGAUGGCUGCAGUGUACUGCAUCUACAACAAGUUCUACACCAAACAGCAGUACAUGCACACCCAGCUCAACAAUGACCCAGACACAGACUCCAUGGACCCUCCCCCCGUGUUCUUUCACGCCUCCGUCAGCUCCAGUGUAAUGGACCUGCAGAAAGCUGGUUAUGGCUCUCUCUCGGACACGCCAUCCAUAAUUUCGGUCCCUCCCAGUCUGUCCCCUCCUCCGUCUGCCAUGCCCCUGCCUGCCCUCUUCCUCUCCUCUCGCUCUCUUAGAACUAUAUCAGCGAAGGAUCUGGAGAAGAGUUACAUAUGACAUGCUUGCGUAGGUUACUGUUUUUGAAUGAUGGAUAAGGGAGACGUUACAGUUAUUGGAAUAUUUGUGUUGUUGUUUUUUUGUACACAUAGACUAAUUUUUGAUUUUACUCAACAGCAGUAAAAUAAAGAAGAAACUAAGGCACAGUGAGCAGCUUAGCGAUAUAAUAUACGGCACUUUCACAUCCAGCUCUGUUAAUGUUAAUCAUGACUUCCUUUACCCUCACUGCCCAUUAUUCUCAGUCACAGUUAUAUGUAUGAACUGUAGUCAUUUGUGCCUUUUUUUGUUUAUUACACAUAAUAAACUAGAUUUUUCCACCAUCUUAUCAAAGCUGCACCACCCUCAUUAGAAAAUAAACUCUCCAAAGUAAAAAAUAAAUAAAUAUGUCUUUCGAGUUGUGUGAUCAAAAAUUACAGCUCCAUUUAUUACUUCAUGAGCUGCAGUGCAAGUUUAACUAAUGACUUAAGCAAAAUAAACAUAACAAGCCUGAUUUAAUCUGUGCAUGUUAAAGGAAUACAGGCUCUUGGACUGGGAAAGGUGUUUUGCCUCUUUAAAACUAUCUUGAUUACUUGAUUACUUGAUUACUUGAUUGCUAAAAAAAAAAAAAAAAGCCCAAAUAUACCUAUCAGAGAAGUAGCAACAACUUUAUGAGUGGCCAAAUCAACAAUCAGGCACAGUCAUAAAACAAUGCAGUUUUUCUUUUGCACUUUUUCUAUCUACAGUAUACAGUUACAUUAAGCAUGUUUUAUGCUAGUUUAAACAUUUCUAUAUGUAAAAAAAAAGAAAGCAGCUCGCCAGUAUGCACCAAAUAAGUGACUCCAUUAACUUAUAAUGACAUAUAGCAGCCCUGCCUUUGCCCCUGCUGGUAAGGUGCAGAUCAUGAAGAGCUCAAGACUCCAUUUGUGAUGUUCUAUUGAUUUUCAAUCCUUCUAAAAUUAUUUUCUGGUCAUAAACGCGGAAAAACCCUGCAAUCUAAUCCACAACCACUGUCCCGAGGUGAGUCUGCGUACCUUCUUACAAAUACCCAGAAACUCUGUUAAUAUUCUUGGUGGGACAGUGUUUACACUAACUCCCCAUUCAAGGCUUGUGCAGUCCAAGAAUAGCCGCGGCUUGGAUAGUCGGUGCUUAAAACGAGGAAGGAAGUGCCGUAUACCUUCCACUCACUACACACUUGGAGAGAUUAGCGGCAGCAGUAAUCUGUUUCAGGACCAUGGCCAGAGACAACGUUUGGCUAUGAAUCUUAUCGAAAGUUGCCUACGACUCUCUGUGAACCUUUACGGACACCAAACAGUGUGACGAAGUUUGUUUGGACAGGGUAUCCGGAAAAGUGGGGCUGAACAUGCAUAUUCGACUGGUUUUAUAUAAAGGGACUUGAAGCAGGCUCAGUCAAAUCUCUAGACAGUCUGUCGCUGAUUACGAGUCUCGUUUCACAUGAAAGCGUGAGUUAAGAAAGCUGGUGACCCAACCAAAUCGGUUCUUUUAAUGUGAGUAAGACGCAAGAAGCCGGGAAGCAGAGGAGAAAGGCUGUGCGCUCAGUCGGGAGCGCGCAAAGACUGCACAUUGGU